AAGUCGACCGCCUGGGGAGUACGGCCGCAAGGUUAAAACUCAAAUGAAUUGACGGGGGCCCGCACAAGCGGUGGAGCAUGUGGUUUAAUUCGAUGCAACGCGAAGAACCUUACCUGGUCUUGACAUCCACGGAAGUUUUCAGAGAUGAGAAUGUGCCUUCGGGAACCGUGAGACAGGUGCUGCAUGGCUGUCGUCAGCUCGUGUUGUGAAAUGUUGGGUUAAGUCCCGCAACGAGCGCAACCCUUAUCCUUUGUUGCCAGCGGUCCGGCCGGGAACUCAAAGGAGACUGCCAGUGAUAAACUGGAGGAAGGUGGGGAUGACGUCAAGUCAUCAUGGCCCUUACGACCAGGGCUACACACGUGCUACAAUGGCGCAUACAAAGAGAAGCGACCUCGCGAGAGCAAGCGGACCUCAUAAAGUGCGUCGUAGUCCGGAUUGGAGUCUGCAACUCGACUCCAUGAAGUCGGAAUCGCUAGUAAUCGUGGAUCAGAAUGCCACGGUGAAUACGUUCCCGGGCCUUGUACACACCGCCCGUCACACCAUGGGAGUGGGUUGCAAAAGAAGUAGGUAGCUUAACCUUCGGGAGGGCGCUUACCACUUUGUGAUUCAUGACUGGGGUGAAGUCGUAACAAGGUA
rnacentral:rRNA from 1 species